GGUCCGGCAGCUCAAUCGUCAGAGCACCUGCCUUAUACGCAGCCGGCUAUUGUUCAAAUCCAAUCCGGACUA
rnacentral:tRNA from 1 species